rnacentral:rRNA from 1 species
GUUGCUCGGAAUCACUGGGCGUAAAGCGCACGUAGGCGGAUUGUUAAGUCAGGGGUGAAAUCCUGGAGCUCAACUCCAGAACUGCCUUUGAUACUGGCGAUCUUGAGUCCGGGAGAGGUGAGUGGAACUGCGAGUGUAGAGGUGAAAUUCGUAGAUAUUCGCAAGAACACCAGUGGCGAAGGCGGCUCACUGGUCCGGUACUGACGCUGAUGUGCGAAAGCGUGGGGAGCAAACAGG